rnacentral:rRNA from 1 species
CCUACGGGUGGCAGCAGUGAGGAAUAUUGGUCAAUGGACGAGAGUCUGAACCAGCCAAGUAGCGUGAAGGAUGACUGCCCUAUGGGUUGUAAACUUCUUUUAUAAAGGAAUAAAACGAGGCACGUGUGCCUUUUUGCAUGUACUUUAUGAAUAAGGAUCGGCUAACUCCGUGCCAGCAGCCGCGGUAAUACGGAGGAUCCGAGCGUUAUCCGGAUUUAUUGGGUUUAAAGGGAGCGUAGAUGGGGUGUUAAGUCAGUUGUGAAAGUUUGCGGCUCAACCGUAAAAUUGCAAUUGAUACUGGCAGUCGUGAGUACAGUUGAGGUAAGCGGAAUUCGUGGUGGAGCGGUGAAAUGCGUAGAUAUCACGAAGAACCCCGAUUGCGAAGGCAGCUUACUAAACUGUGACUGACAUUGAUGCUCGAAAGUGUGGGUAUCAAACAGGAUUAGAUACCCCAGUAGUC